UACGGAGGGUGCGAGCGUUGUCCGGAAUCACUGGGCGUAAAGGGCGCGUAGGCGGCUUGGGAAGUCCGUGGUGAAAGCUCGAGGCUCAACUUCGAGUCGGCCAAGGAUACUCCUAAGCUCGAGUCGACUAGAGGCAGAUGGGAUUCCGGGUGUAGCGGUGGAAUGCGUAGAGAUCCGGAAGAACACCGGUGGCGAAGGCGGUCUGCUGGGGUCGAACUGACGCUGAGGCGCGACAGCGUGGGGAGCAAACAGG
rnacentral:rRNA from 1 species